UAGAAGAAUCUCGCUCCCUAGAAUAAAUCGCCAAAAGGAGAGUUAUUAAACAUGAUUACUUCAGGCAAAACCAAAGAGGAAACGAGAGAAAUAACAUGAUGGAAAGGGAGAAAGAACUUGCCCUGACCCCUAAUCAAAUGCUCAAGAACCCACUUCAAAAGCUGAAACACGAUAGGAGUUGAGAGAGUUGCAGAGGGGUUCGGCUCCCAGAAAAAAUAGUGUCGGUUCAGAACCAAAGAAGAAAAACUAGAUUCGGCAAGAGUUACAGAGUAGAAAAAGAAUAAUAAUAAUAAGAAGAAAGUAUACGGCUAAUAGACCAAAAGAGAAUAUGAAAAAUGAUGACCGAUUGGGAGGAAGGGAAUGAGGGUUUGGCAAAUUGUGAAGAAGAUUAAGGAAGGAAAAAGAGGAAGAUCGAUUACUCAAACACAACCUUGAAGACAAAACCAC
rnacentral:lncRNA from 1 species